rnacentral:rRNA from 1 species
CCUACGUGAGGCAGCAGUGGGGAAUAUUGGGCAAUGGGCGCAAGCCUGACCCAGCAACGCCGCGUGAAGGAAGAAGGCUUUCGGGUUGUAAACUUCUUUUCUCAGGGACGAAGCAAGUGACGGUACCUGAGGAAUAAGCCACGGCUAACUACGUGCCAGCAGCCGCGGUAAUACGUAGGUGGCAAGCGUUAUCCGGAUUUACUGGGUGGAAAGGGCGUGUAGGCGGGAAAGCAAGUCAGAUGUGAAAACCAUGGGCUCAACCUGUGGCCUGCAUUUGAAACUGUUUUUCUUGAGUACUGGAGAGGCAGACGGAAUUCCUAGUGUAGCGGUGAAAUGCGUAGAUAUUAGGAGGAACACCAGUGGCGAAGGCGGUCUGCUGGACAGCAACUGACGCUGAGGCGCGGAAGCGUGGGGAGCAAACAGGAUUAGAUACCCUUGUAGUC